CAGCAGACAUUUAUUUUCUCACAGUUCUGAAGACUUUCAGUUCAAGAUCAAGGUGUUGGCAGACUUGCUUUCUCCUGAGGCCUCUUUCCUCGCCUCACAGAUGGUCACUUUCUCACCUGUCCUCUCUCGGCCUUU
ensembl:miRNA Gm54856 predicted gene, 44324